rnacentral:rRNA from 1 species
CGCGGCCUAUCAGCUUGUUGGUGGGGUGAUGGCCCACCAAGGCUACGACGGGUAGCCGGCCUGAGAGGGUGUCCGGCCACACUGGGACUGAGAUACGGCCCAGACUCCUACGGGAGGCAGCAGUGGGGAAUAUUGCACAAUGGGCGCAAGCCUGAUGCAGCGACGCCGCGUGGGGGAUGACGGCCUUCGGGUUGUAAACCUCUUUCACCAUCGACGAAGCCGCAAGGUGACGGUAGGUGGAGAAGAAGCACCGGCCAACUACGUGCCAGCAGCCGCGGUAAUACGUAGGGUGCGAGCGUUGUCCGGAAUUACUGGGCGUAAAGAGCUCGUAGGUGGUUUGUCGCGUUGUUCGUGAAAUGCCACAGCUUAACUGUGGGCGUGCGGGCGAUACGGGCAGACUGGAGUACUGCAGGGGAGACUGGAAUUCCUGGUGUAGCGGUGGAAUGCGCAGAUAUCAGGAGGAACACCGGUGGCGAAGGCGGGUCUCUGGGCAGUAACUGACGCUGAGGAGCGAAAGCGUGGGGAGCGAACAGGAUUAGAUACCCUGGUAGUCCACGCCGUAAACGGUGGGUACUAGGUGU